UACGUAGGGGGCAAGCGUUGUCCGGAAUCAUUGGGCGUAAAGCGCGUGUAGGCGGCCUUUUAAGUCUGCUGUGAAAGUCCAGGGCUCAACCCUGGGAUGUCAGUGGAUACUGGAAGGCUCGAGUCCGGAAGAGGCAAGUGGAAUUCCUGGUGUAGCGGUGGAAUGCGCAGAUAUCAGGAGGAACACCGGUGGCGAAGGCGGGUCUCUGGGCCAUUACUGACGCUGAGGAGCGAAAGCGUGGGGAGCGAACAGG
rnacentral:rRNA from 1 species